ACCAUGUUUUACACUGUUAAAUGCAGACUGCGUGACAUUUCCAAGACUAGGAUGGAAGUCGUAACCUUCUUUCUUUCUUGUCAUGAUAUAGACAUGGUUUUAAAGUUUUGAUGUCUGAAAUAUUUGAAAACAUCUCUAGGGUACGUUUGGAACGUGUGUACACCAAUCAGGACUAAUGAUUUGGUGGGCCCCCAAAAGAUAAAGCGACCGAUUGUGGUCUCAAAAGGGAUGAUCACUCACAAGGCACAUGGAAUUUGGUGGCUAAUAAUUUCGUAGUUGAUAGUUCUAACAGCAGGGAUUUGAGCUUGAAUUGUCUUCAGCGAAGCUCUUCAUGCUAUCAAAACUCUCAAUACCAUUCUUCAUUCGCGAUCAGGUGCGGUGGACC